CCAUCUCUUUUCCUCUUUUUCUUCAAAAACAUAACAUGGAUGAAAUGGAAAAAUCUCACACAGAUCUUCGUUACCCAGUACCUUUAACUCAGGAACUUGAGGACCGAAAGAGACAGUUUGAGAAGUGUGGCUUGUGGGUUGUGAAGGUGGAGCAGAUACAGAAUAAUGCACUCAUGGCUGCCUUCCUAGAGAAGAAGAAAAUGAUGGAAGGGAGAACGU
rnacentral:lncRNA from 1 species